rnacentral:rRNA from 1 species
GACGAAAGAUGCAAGCGUUAUCCGGAUUCAUUGGGUUUAAAGGGAGCGUAGGUGGCCUUAUAAGUCAGUGGUGAAAAUCCCCGCAGCUUAACUGUGGAAUUGCCAUUGAUACUGUAGGGCUUGAGUACAGAUGAGCCGUUGGCGGAAUAUGACAUGUAGUGGUGAAAUACAUAGAGAUGUCAUAGAACACCGAUUGCGAAGGCAGCUGGACCGAAAACUGUAACUGACACUGAGGCUCGGAAAGUGCGGGGAUCAAACAGG